rnacentral:rRNA from 1 species
UACGUAGGGGCCAAGCGUUGUCCGGAUUUAUUGGGCGUAAAGAGCUCGUAGGCGGUUCGGCAAGUCAGCUGUGAAAUCUCCACGCUCAACGUGGAGGGGUCAGCUGAUACUGCUGUGACUUGAGUCCGGUAGGGGAGUGUGGAAUUCCCGGUGUAGCGGUGAAAUGCGCAGAUAUCGGGAGGAACACCUAUGGCGAAGGCAGCUCGCUGGGACGGUACUGACGCUGAGACGCGAAAGCGUGGGGAGCAAACAGG